rnacentral:rRNA from 1 species
ACUCCUGCGGGAGGCAGCAGUGGGGAAUAUUGCACAAUGGGCGCAAGCCUGAUGCAGCCAUGCCGCGUGUAUGAAGAAGGCCUUCGGGUUGUAAAGUACUUUCAGCGGGGAGGAAGGCGAUAAGGUUAAUAACCUUGUCGAUUGACGUUACCCGCAGAAGAAGCACCGGCUAACUCCGUGCCAGCAGCCGCGGUAAUACGGAGGGUGCAAGCGUUAAUCGGAAUUACUGGGCGUAAAGCGCACGCAGGCGGUCUGUCAAGUCGGAUGUGAAAUCCCCGGGCUCAACCUGGGAACUGCAUUCGAAACUGGCAGGCUAGAGUCUUGUAGAGGGGGGUAGAAUUCCAGGUGUAGCGGUGAAAUGCGUAGAGAUCUGGAGGAAUACCGGUGGCGAAGGCGGCCCCCUGUACAAAGACUGACGCUCAGGUGCGAAAGCGUGGGGAGCAAACAGGAUUAGAUACCCCGGUAGUCCCAUGA